rnacentral:rRNA from 1 species
UACAGAGGGGGCAAGCGUUAUUCGGAAUUAUUGGGCGUAAAGAGCUCGUAGGCGGUGUGUCGCGUCGGCCGUGAAAACCUGGGGCUCAACUCUGGGCGUGCGGUCGAUACGGGCAUCACUUGAGUUCGGCAGGGGAGACUGGAAUUCCUGGUGUAGCGGUGAAAUGCGCAGAUAUCGGGAAGAACACCCGUGGCGAAGGCGGUCUCUGGCGGGUCGU